UGGGGAAUAUUGGACAAUGGGCGAAAGCCUGAUCCAGCCAUGCCGCGUGUGUGAAGAAGGUCUUCGGAUUGUAAAGCACUUUAAGUUGGGAGGAAGGGUUGUAGAUUAAUACUCUGCAAUUUUGACGUUACCGACAGAAUAAGCACCGGCUAACUCUGUGCCAGCAGCCGCGGUAAUACAGAGGGUGCAAGCGUUAAUCGGAAUUACUGGGCGUAAAGCGCGCGUAGGUGGUUAGUUAAGUUGGAUGUGAAAUCCCCGGGCUCAACCUGGGAACUGCAUUCAAAACUGACUGACUAGAGUAUGGUAGAGGGUGGUGGAAUUUCCUGUGUAGCGGUGAAAUGCGUAGAUAUAGGAAGGAACACCAGUGGCGAAGGCGACCACCUGGACUGAUACUGACACUGAGGUGCGAAAGCGUGGGGAGCAAACAGG
rnacentral:rRNA from 1 species